rnacentral:misc_RNA from 1 species
GAAAUGCGAUACUUGGUGUGAAUUGCAGAAUCCCGUGAACCAUCGAGUCUUUGAACGCAAGUUGCGCCCGAAGCUUCCGUAUUACCGCGGCGGCUGGCACACAUGCU